CUUGGAUCUAAUAAAAUCUCUGAAAAAAAAAAACUCUCGCUCUCUGUCAAAUUCAUUUUUCCUUCAUUUACCAAAAUUGAAGAGCUCACAUCUCCUUUGAUUCUUAUCUUGAGAAUAGUGAGGAAGAUCAAUUGGCAAUGUUCUCUGUACGUUGAGUUCGAGGGAGAAUUCAAGCGUUCUUGACGUUCAUGACAGUUCAUUCCGUGGAGAAAAUCUUAUAGAAGACGGUCUUCAAAGGAGCUAAGUGUUGCUGAGGAAUAAGAUGGAAAACAGAGUGAAAACGGAGCAAAUAUGAAGCAAAUCGAAGCAGAAUUCUGUUCUAUGUCGAAACACCGACCAAAGGUCGUGGCGCUCUAGUAGCACCGCAGCGGUAGACGACAGUGCUGCGACGCUCUCCAAUAAACUGCGCACGCAAGCAUAUAUUUUUUUUUACGCCAUGUUAUAAUGUUUAAGAUUGGGCGCUCCACCGGUUAAAGGCUUGCCUAGAAUGUUGCCGAUUGCAAGUUUAAGUUUUUAUGGGAGUAGUUUUUUAUUUUUUAUGUUUGAAAUUAAUGUAAUUUUCUUUUUUAUUACUUAAAUUAAUACAAUAUGAUUAUAUUA